rnacentral:lncRNA from 1 species
UAGGAGAUCGUGGUGCGGCAGUAGGAGGUUAUGGGGUGGUUUGGGGCUGCAGUGGGAAGUUUGGGAUCGCUUUAGGGUUUGCAGUGGGAGGUUUCGGGGUGGCUUUGGGGCUGCAAGGGGAAGAUCAGAGAUGUGUGGGGAGCUUUGGUGCUGCAAUGGGAGGUUUUCAGGGAUGUCUUGGGGCUGGAGUAGAUUUUGGGGUGGCUUUGGUGCUGCAGUGUGGCCUUAGGGAGGCUUUGGGGCUGCAAUAGGAGAUCGUAGUGCGGCAGUAGGAGGUUAUGGGGGGGUUUGGGGCUUGCAGUGGGAGGUUUUGGGGUGGCUUUGGGGCUGCAAGGGGAAGAUGAGAGAGGUUUGGUGUUGCUUUGGGGUGGUUUUGGUGCUGCGGUGAAAGGUUUUGGGGUGGCUUUGGGGCUCCAGUGGGAGGUCUAGGGGAUAUUUUAGGGCUUGAAUGGAUUUUGGGGAAGCUUUUUGGUGCUGCAGUGUGGUUUUGGGGAGGCUUUGGGGCUGCAGUAGGGGAUGUUGGUGCCACAGUAGGAGGUUAUGGGGUGGCUUUGGUGCUGCGGUAGGUUUUGGGAUUGCAGUGGGAGCUUUGAGAUGGCUUUGGGGCUGCAAGUGGGAAGCUGGGGGGACGUUCUGGGGCUGGGGUUGAUUUUGGGGUUGCCGUGGGAAGCUAUGGGGUGGCUGCAAGAGGAAGGGCAGAGGGUUUUGAUGUUCCUUUGGGGUGGCUUUGGUGCUGCCCCUGCUGCUUCGGGGCCUUCUCGGGGUAACGCUUUGCAACCCAAGGCUGACGACGGAGCUUUGGGACCCCCCUCUCCCCCCCAAACCCGCGCCCUGAGCGCCCCAAACCCCCCACAAAACCCCUCUCCCUGUGUCUGUGUGUAUCUGUGUGUGUCUGUGUGUGCGUCCCCUCUCCCCCAGUGACGACGACAUCGUGUUCGAGGACUUCGCCCGGCAGCGGCUGAAGGGGAUGAAGGACGACAAGGAGGAUGAGGAGGAGCGGACCAACUCCCCGCAGCUCAACGACAGAUAAGCCGACCCCGGAGCCGCCCGCCCCGCUCUCACCCGUGCGUUAGAGGCUUCUUCUCUAUUUUAUUUUAUUAUUAUUUUUUUUUUGUAUGACGAUGAUUCGUUUCGUUUUCUACCUGUACCGGAUCACCCCCCCCGAUCGUGACAGCAGCAAUUAGACCCUUCCAGCUGUGCCCUGUUGUCCCCAUUCGUCCCUGGUGGUGGUGGUGGUGGUGAUGGGGGGGGGGAGGGGGUGGCAUCCAGGGCUCAGCCCACCCCCCUCAGCCUUCACCCCUCCGUCCUUUUCCCCUUCCUAAAGCUCCGGGCCCUUUCCCGGGAGCUGCUCUUUUAUGCAUUUUGUAUAGUCCGCUCUCGACGCCGGGGGAGGGGGGGAUGCAGCAGAAUUUUGGGGGGGGAUUUUUUAGGCAGCCUGCUCGUGGGAAAGGGCCCCGUCCCCCCCGUCC